GCCGCCUGCCGCGGACCGCGUGGGGAGGGAGCGGCCCGGAGGCCGGCCUCGCCGCCUCCCCCACCCGGGUGGCGUCCCGCCGGGCAGCCCGGGGCCGGCCGCCCUCUCGCUCACCGCGGAGUUGGGCGAGACGGGGAGUCGCCGCCUUGGCAGCAUGCGCCCUCCCCCGGGACCGGGCUCGAGGCAGGAAUGUGCUCCCGGUGCUCCCGGACCCGAGCCUACUUGUCGCCUCCUCCGGCUCCCGGGAAGCGGGCGGCCGAGCGCUGCCACCCCCGGGAGGACGGCUUGCCCGGCGCCCGAGCCCCGCUUCCCCCACCCGGAGCCGAGGGAGGGACGCGCGUUCCAGGGCUCGCGGUUGCUCGCGGCCGGCGGUCCGAGAGGCGCCGCGACCCGGGCACUUCUCGGUCUGGCAGUGGGCACGGCCGAUUCUGCUCACCCGUCUCCUGCGGGGAAGUCUUCUCCCUCUUCGCUGGCAGUUUAGAAAGAGGCAGCGUCCCCCUCACCUUUAAGGUGCUCAGCGGUCUGGAAAGGAGUGCGGGGUAGUACUUUUUCCCGUUGCCAGACUAGAGAGAAGGUCUCCGCCCGUGCGGUCUGUUGCAGGAGGGCCUUUUCUGGGAUUUGCAGCUCCUGUAUGCUGGGGGUAGGGUAGAAGUAUUGCCAAGCAGUGGCUUGGGGUGGCCUCCCAGCUCUUUUGUCAGUGUUUUCAUUGUUACUGUCAUUCACGGAAAGGGGCAGCUGGAGAUGGCAUCAGCACUUUUGCUCGGCAGCCUCACCAGUCUCUAGUCGCUCAACACCAAGCAGGUGCUGGAACUACCUAACGAAUUAGAUUAGGGUCUGAGCGAAUUUAGUCUUCUGUCGACACUGUCUACAAACAUUUUAGAGCUCUUUAUGUAAGAAAGCCUAGGGACUUUCCCUUUAAUAAACGUUUUGUUAGGACGACUGUUUUCUGGGAUUACUUUCAGGAGUCACAUUUCUGUUGGGUUGGGUAGUGACAUGGUUUGUGAGACGACAAAGAUUUGGAAGAAAAUUCAUUUCUCUGAAGUUGCUAAACGGGCUCAUAAAUACAUGCACCUUCCUGACUUACUGAAGAUGUGCUAUGUUAAGAAGACACAAAAGAAUCAUAAUGAUUGGAUUUGCAAGCCUAACAGGUAGCUGUCGUUUUGUACUAAGCAAAUGAUAUUUGGCUUUCCUUCAUGGUCCUAAAGUACUUCAUAAACAUUUAAUCAAUUCCCACAGCCUGAGAAUGUCAGUUAAGCUUUUCUUGUUCAACAUAUGGGGAUGUGCCCAAGACUCUGUACUAGCCAGUGGCAGAACAGGAAUUGAGAAAUGGGAGUCCCUGGCUCCUGGGCUUGUCCUCCAUUAAGUGCAUUAUUAAUAUUCAAUUUAUCAAUGCAUAGUUGUCUUUUCUGGGUUACAAGUCACUAAGCUGCUUCCUUCAAUGUGUUUUGAAGGGUUAGAAAGUCUCAGUUUUCACUUUCAUGGCCAUCUUUUGAUUUAUUUCUUUUAGUUUUGUUUUCUAUAUCUUUCUAGAAGUGUUUUAUACUUUUUUAUGUAGUUUGCCUUGAAAUUUGGGCAAAUGAUUCUGGAGGAAUUUUUAUAGAUUCUUGAAUAUUCUUAGGGUAGUAAAAUAAGACAUGGUUCACACUUUGGACUUGAAAAGACGUCUUCAGUAAUGUUCUCAAUUAUAAGAAGAAACCUUUAAUUCAGCUCAAAACAUCCUCUGAUUACAGCUAUUUAUUA